CUUUUAUUCCAGAAGUUUGGUCCUUAAGGGGUUAAUGAGGCCAAAACAUCGGUGCAUGGACUGUCCCUUUAAAUUAAAAUAAAAACUGUUCUACUGGGCAGAUUUUGUAGCUUUAAUAAAGACCCCCAGUGUCUUUACCAUCACCGCAUGUGACGUGAGACUCAGGUGAAAAUAAAAUAUUAUAUAAUAAACGUAACGAUCUCACCACGUCUUUCUUUCUACAAUGGGGAACUUACAAUGUGAUGCUUUCUAACAUGUUUUGUCACAGUGCUCACAUGUCUUGGUCUAUGCUGGGUUCCACACCUAGAUUUCAUUUCCUCCCCCUAACCAGUCUGUUCUUAUUUCCUUACAAAAUUACCUAUUUAUCCCAUGUGUCACUGCACAUCUCGUGUGAAAUCUAUAAAAUACAUCUAUGUGCACUUUGUCCUGCUUCUGUGUUAUCACUUAGUGUGCCCUAUUGUCCUCCACGUGAUACACAGAGCUUGGCCUUCAACUGUCCUACAUGUGAUACAUACAGCCCGGCCUUUUCUUGUCCUUCACGUGAUACAUACAGCCCGGCCUUCUCCUGUCCUACAAGUGACACACAGCCCGGCCUUCUCCUGUCCUUCAAGUGAUACAUACAGCCCGGCCUUCUCUUGUCCUUCACGUGAUACAUACAGCCCGGCCUUCUCCUGUCCUACAAGUGACACAUACAGCCUUCUCCUGUCCUUCACGUGAUACAUACAGCUGGGCCUUCUCCUGUCCUUCACGUGAUACAUACAGCCCGGCCUUCUCCUGUCCUACACGUGAUACAUACAGCCCGGCCUUCUCCUGUCCUACAAGUGACACAUACAGCUGGGCCUUCUCCUGUCCUACAAGUGAUACAUACAGCCCGGCCUUCUCCUGUCCUACACGUGAUACAUACAGCCCGGCCUUCUCCUGUCCUACACGUGAUACAUACAGCCCGGCCUUCUCCUG